UUACAAACGUCAACACUCCUUAUAUUUACUGGCCCAAUUUUUGUCUUGUCAGUCUGUACAUUUUGAACGAAAAACGCAUCACAUAGAGCAUUGCAAGGACUAUUGUAAGGAAUAUUGUUCGUUAUUCAUGGUUAUUAUGACUUUGAAGAGCGGGAGAAGCAGUUGUUUUCUUUCUAGUCAGGAUGGCACAACGAAACUUUUAUUCACCCUGUUGUUUGUGUGGUGUGCUAUUAAUUCUGCGACUAGAGUUGGUGCUUCAAAAAAGGAGUCUUCAACUUCAGGAUAUACGGCUUCAGAAAGAACAACUAUACUUGCCAUUUCAACCUCAGCAAAACCAGCUCCAACCUCAUCAGAUUCUUCAGGUGCAACAAUGGUUAUAACUACAGAAAGACUUGCUUCAACAACCAUGACUACGUCUUCAGAAAAGACAAAAGCAGCUGAAACAACAAAUACUGCAUCCACAGCCACAACUGAACAUUCCACUGCUACAGUUAAAACAGUGGAAACCACAACUACAGGUUCAUUAACUACAUCUACAACAAACGAUCCAAAAACAUCAACAGCUGUAACAUCAGAAUCCACAACUCUUACUUCAACAACUAUGCCUACAUUAUCAGAAACAACUGCACCUGUAACAACAUCAACAACUACAGCAUCCUCAACUACUGAAAUUUCCACCACCACAGUUGUGAAGACCGAAACAACAGCCAUUACUUCAACAACACUGCCUACAACUUCAAAAAGUACAACAGCAGAAACCACAACUAUAGCUUCAUCAACCACAUCUACAACAACAAACGAUCCAACAACAUCAACAGCUGUAACUUCAGAAUCCACAACUCUAACUUCAACAACAAUACCUACAUCUUCAGAAACAACUGUACCUGUAACAAUAUCAACAACUAAAGGAUUGUCAAUUAGUGAAAUUCCAACAACCACAGUUGUGAGUACAGAGACCACAACUACUACUUCAACAACACUGCCUACAACUACAGCUUUGUCACCUACAUCUACAACAACAAAUGAUCCAACAACAUCAAUAGCAGUAACUUCAGAAUCCACAACAAUUGCUUCAACAACAAUGCCUACAACUUCAAAAAGUACAACAGCAGAAACCACAACUACAGCUUCAUCAACCACAUCUACAACAACAAACAAUCCAGCAACAUCAACAGCUGUAACUUCAGAAUCGACAACUCUUACAUCAACAAUGCCUACAUCUUCAGAAACAACCGCACCUGUAACAACAUCAGUAACUACAGCAUACUCAACUGCUGAAAGUCCCACAACCACAGAUGUGAGUACAGAGACCACAACUAUUACUUCAACAACACUGCCUACAACUUCAGGAAGUACAACAGCAGAGACCACAACUACAGCUUCAUCAACCACAUCUACAACAACAAAUGAUCCAACAACAUCAACAGCUGUAACUUCAGAAUCGACAACUCUUACUUCAACAAUGCCUACAUCUUCAGAAACAACUGCACCUGUAACAACAUCAGUAAUUACAGCAUCCUCAACUACUGAAAUUCCCACCAACACAGUUGUGAGGACCGAAACCACACGCAUUACUUCAACAACACUGCCUACAACUUCAGAAAGUACAACAACAGAGACCGCAACUACAGCUUCAUCAACCACAUCUACAACAACAAAUGAUCCAACGACAUCAGCAGCUGUAUCUUCAGAAUCCACAACUCUUACAUCAACAAUGCCUACAUCUUCAGAAACAACCGCACCUGUAACAACAUCAGUAACUACAGCAUCCUCAACUACUGAAAUUCCCACCACCACAGUUGUGAGGAAACCACAACUAUUACUUCAACAACACUGCCUACAACUUCAGAAAGAACAACAGCAGAGACCACAACUGCAGCUUCAUCAACCACAUCUACAACAACAAAUGAUCCAACAACAUCAGCAGCAGUAACUUCAGAAUCCACAACUCUUACUUCAACAACUAUGCUUACAUCUUCAGAUACAACUGCACCUGUAACAACAUCAGUAACUAAAGCUUCCUCAUCUACAGAAAUUCCCACAACCACAGUUGUAAGUACAGAGACCACACCUAUUACUUCAACAACUAUGCUUACAUCUUCAGAUACAACUGCACCUGUAACAACAUCAGUAACUAAAGCUUCCUCAUCUACAGAAAUUCCCACAACCACAGUUGUAAGUACAGAGACCACACCUAUUACUUCAACAACAUUGCCUACAACUUUAGAAAUUACAACAGUGGAAACCACCACUACAGCUUCAUCAACCACAUCUACAAUAACAAACAAUCCAACAACAUCAACAGUAGUAACUUCAGAAUCCCUAACACUUACUUCAACAACAAUUCCUACAACUUCAGAAACAACUGCACCUGUAACAACAUCAAUAACUACAGCAUCCUCAACUACUGAAAUUCCCACCACCACAGUUGUGAGUACAGAAACCACAACUAUUGCUUCCACAACAAUGCCUACAACUUCAGAAAGUACAACAGCAGAAACCACAACUACAGCUUCAUCAACCACAUCUACAACAACAAACAAUCCAGCAACAUCAACAGCUGUAACUUCAGAAUCCACAACUCUUACUUCAACAACGAUACCUACAUCUUCAGAAACAACUGCACCUGUAACAAUAUCAACAACUAAUGGAUUGUCAAUUAGUGAAAUUCCAACAACCACAGUUGUGAGUACAGAGACCACAACUACUACUUCAACAACACUGCCUACAACUACAGCUUUGUCACCUAAAUCUACAACAACAAAUGAUCCAACAACAUCAAUAGCAGUAACUUCAGAAUCGACAACUCUUACUUCAACAAUGCCUACAUCUUCAGAAACAACUGCACCUGUAACAACAUCAGUAAUUACAGCAUCCUCAACUACUGAAAUUCCCACCAACACAGUUGUGAGGACCGAAACCACACGCAUUACUUCAACAACACUGCCUACAACUUCAGAAAGUACAACAGCAGAGACCGCAACUACAGCUUCAUCAACCACAUCUACAACAACAAAUGAUCCAACGACAUCAGCAGCUGUAACUUCAGAAUCCACAACUCUUACAUCAACAAUGCCUACAUCUUCAGAAACAACCGCACCUGUAACAACAUCAGUAACUACAGCAUCCUCAACUACUGAAAUUCCCACCACCACAGUUGUGAGGACUGAAACCACAACUAUUACUUCAACAACACUGCCUACAACUUCAGAAAGAACAACAGCAGAGACCACAACUGCAGCUUCAUCAACCACAUCUACAAUAACAAACAAUCCAGCAACAUCAACAGCUGUAACUUCAGAAUCCACAGCUCUUA
ensembl:lncRNA